AGAGUUUGAUCAUGGCUCAGGACGAACGCUGGCGGCGUGCCUAACACAUGCAAGUCGAGGGCGAAAACCUCCUUCGGGAGGUGAGUAGACCGGCGGACGGGUGCGUAACACGUGAGCAACCUGCCUGGUAGAGGGGGAUAACUCGGGGAAACCCGGGCUAAUACCCCAUGACGUGGUUUCGCCGCAUGGCGAGAUCACUAAAAGGGGGCGUCUUUUUACGGAGCUCUCGCUUCCAGAUGGGCUCGCGGCCUAUCAGCUUGUUGGUGAGGUAACGGCUCACCAAGGCGAUGACGGGUAGCUGGUCUUAGCGGAUGAUCAGCCACACGGGGACUGAGACACGGCCCCGACUCCUACGGGAGGCAGCAGUGGGGAAUUUUGGACAAUGGGCGAAAGCCUGAUCCAGCGACGCCGCGUGCGGGAGGAAGCCCCUCGGGGUGUAAACCGCUGUCAGGGGGGAAGAAAAGGUCCGGACGAAUAAUCCGGGCUCUUGACGGUACCCCCAGAGGAAGCGCCGGCUAACUCCGUGCCAGCAGCCGCGGUAAUACGGAGGGCGCAAGCGUUGUCCGGAAUUACUGGGCGUAAAGGGGGCGCAGGCGGCUUGUUAAGUCCUGUGUGAAAGCCCGCGGCUCAACCGCGGAAAGCCACAGGAUACUGGCGAGCUUGAGACGGGUAGAGGCGAGUGGAAUUCCCGGUGUAGCGGUGGAAUGCGUAGAUAUCGGGAAGAACACCAGUGACGAAAGCGACUCGCUGGGCCCGUUCUGACGCUCAUGCCCGAAAGCGUGGGGAGCAAACAGGAUUAGAUACCCUGGUAGUCCACGCCGUAAACGAUGGCACUAGUGCUGGGGAGUGUGACCUCUUCGUGCCGUAGCUAACGCGUUGAGUGCCCCGCCUGGGGGAGUACGGCCGCAAAGCUGAAACUCAAAUGAAUUGACGG
rnacentral:rRNA from 1 species